GUGAAAUCCAUCCACUGUCGAUUCGGUUGCCUCAGAAAACUCCAAUCCCAAUCGAGGCGCUAGGGUAGGCCUAGGUGCGCUCCCAGAUGAAUGCACUCGGUGGUGGGCGAGGAUGGUGACGCCAACUACUUUUACAAGCCGCGCUUCGGCUGGAUCCCCUUCUCUCCGUUUGCGCCUGUACUUUCACCACCCACGGCCACGGCGGCGCCCACCAUGGUGAUGGAUCAACAAGGAUCUUCUGGCGGGAAGCCUUAUGUUCUGCCCUUCUUGUUCAGUCAAUACUGGAUUGGCUGCAUAGUUUGAGUCCGGCGGCCGCAAAUAUCAAGAUCCGGAAUCGCGAGGGCGAGUGGUUGGUCACAAAAUCGUCGCUCUGCUGUUCAACCGGGUCUACUGGGGAAUAACAGAAGGCUGUGCUUGGACGAUGUGAGCCCAUGCCCAGGCGUGAGGGAUUCAGCGGGCGACGCGAAGGGGCUUAGUUUAUGGGGAUUCAGCGGGCGAUGUGAAUGGUGCUGUUGCAGCGGCUGGAGGCGCGUUAGUUGCCGACGCUGACGGUGAAUGUGAGUUACAAUCUUGCUGCCUCCUCAUUGGUUCAUUCCAAGAUGCGCUUAUAUAUGCUCCCCUUGCAUAGGUUGAUGCUAUGUCUUCUUUCGUGUUGCAGGCUACACAAACCUCCCCCACAUGGUUUGUGUUCCAUCUAAUGCUGUUGUUUUUUCUCCAAAUUUGUUGUUGAUGUUGUUAGUAAAUUUGUUGGAGGCCCUUUGCGUCUUUGAUCGCCUCAGUAUGCUCCUUCAGUAGUCAGCAGCAGUACGUCUUCACUCUAGGUCUCCAUCUCCUGGUGGAGUUGAUGUGAUGGUUCAUGUUCUUUUGUUUUUAGGAGCAUGCAGUUCAUGCCAAGGAGCUGUUAUGUGUAAAUGUCGUGUGUGCUGAGCCAAGAUAAGUUGUCUUUGAAGUAAGAUUAUGCAGUGUCGUAUGAUUGCUUAGCCUUAUAUAAAACUCCAUGACAUACUUGAUAACUUAGUAUUUCCUGGCUAUAAUACCUUUCUCUAUUCAAAUAAAUAUGCGAUUUGGGUGUUACUGAUUACUCAUGGAGAGAUUUAAUGCCAUUUUAGGAAAACACGAAUAUUCAAAUGGGCAUUGUCUGAUCAAUAGUUUUUUGUUACUGCAGGUCGAAAAGCGCAAUGAAGGAUUUUUCUCUCUUUCCUAUGAAGAGUUGCUGACAGGUAAAUCCUCUGUCCAUACUCCAUACUCCAUGUACUUUCCUCAGUUUAUCCUCCAGGGAAAUCUUUUUUGUUCAGAAUGAAAAUAUGUAUUUCACCUUCAUAACGGGUAUUCUUAUACCCCAUUAACUCGAGUGUGUUCUUACAAGUUGCAGACUCGCAGUAUGUAUUUUCAACGAUUAUUCUAUCUCAAGACACACCUAGCUGACACUUUGCUGCAAGUUAUUUGUAUUUUUCGGCCGUGUAUUGUACUGUGAUGUUGCUUUAUAUAUAAGAAUAAAGCGGGGCAGAAGCCUGUUUCGAUAUCCAUCUUUUGACCGGCUUUGUGUAUAUCUCCUGCAAGUAAUUGUUUCAUCUCAUCAGGGUGCUUCCUUUCUUUAAUGACCAGGUAAUUAAACUGUUCCUUUGUACUUUUCUAUUCAUAUUUUUUGACUUGUUUGGAGCUGUAUUGAUGGACAUGUUAAUCUCCAGGGAGUGGACAUGUAGGAACAAAGAAAUGAACUUGCCUUCUGCAAGAUAAUUAACUGAUGUGUUGCUCAUCUUCAUUCAGUUCUCAUGUUUGCAGGGUGUAGAAAUCAUACCUUAUAUUACUUCGUGUAGAGGUACAAUUUUCUUGUGAAGAGGUCCAACCAUUUAUUACUUGAGAGCAUAUUCCAUCGUACAUCAUAUUUUUGGAAUUUGGAUUCGACAUUCGACAGUAAAUUGCUUAAACUAUUCAUCUGAAGUUCUGAACCUUAUAAACAUAGUGCCAUAUAUUUGUUACAUUUAUUUCCCCUCUUUUCUUUUUAAGGUAGCAAUAAUUCAUACACAAUCUAGCCUGCAAUCUAAAUUUGUAUCACCCCUCCCUCGCCUGCUUUAGUCAAGGAUAGCGGAUCAUCUACUUGAUAACAUGUAAGCUUUAUAAAUAUUCUAUUUGACCCCUAAGUAGUAUCUCCCAUGUACUUUCCGUACUAACCAAACGCUCUAUCUGCCUUUUGUCCCUCUACAACAGAUCAGACUAAAAGCAAAUCAAUGGCCUAUAUGCAAGGUCAGCGAGCAAACUAUCAAGUAUAAUCUGCUGGAGAAUAUCGAUAUCCUAAUUUUUUGUUAGAGUAUAUAAUAGCAGUCCAGAGAUACUAUGGCUUGAUUUAUAUAUAAGCUUAUUGAGGUGCAUUAUCUCAAUUUUGUGUGAUACUCCACCCUUUCUGGUUUAUAGGGCUUAUCUCAAAUUUUUUCCAUUUUUCUGAUUUAAAGGGCUCAUCUCCAUCUCCUUUUGAGAUUUCGAGGUGCAUUAAAUAUUUGCAUGCAAGAAUUGAAAAAGAACUCACCAAUGCAUGUAGUGCUACUACUCAUGUAGUGGCCAAACAUGCAUGCACCGCAAGUAAUCCCAAUUAAUGCAUCAAUUUAGUUUGGGUAGUUUUCUAAAGUACGAGAUACAUUCCUCCACUCACCAUGUGUCUUGGUUGAUGAGAUUUCAGAUUUGAGCCCUAUAAACCGGAAAGGAGGGAGUAAUGUGUUAUUUAGGAAAAGACACCUUAAUUGAUACUCCCAACAUUUGUAGGCUUAGCAACAUGAUCGCCAGUUGAGGACGCUGUUAUGUGAUCACCAGUGUGUAUAUAUUCCCUCUAGCAUCAAUGGCCACACAAUCUUUAUUAUUUUUAGUAUUCAGGUUGAUAUGCCUGAUAUUCCAAAAUUCACACUUCUAAUGAUCAUGCAUACUUGUUUACUUUCUGCAGGAGAAAUGAGAUGUCAUGCUGCCUUCCACGAGCGCGCCAGAUUUCGCUUGUUUCAUUAAUUAUGAUCAUCAGCAUAGAUGUUUGCUACUGACAGUGACAAGGCUGCAUCAAUUAUGACUUCAUGUAAAGAAGCAAAAAUAUUUAGAUGCCAAAUGGUGCAAGACACAUGAUGCCGAGAAGGAGGUUGCCUUAGUCAAGCAAAAUGCGGAUGAGGAUGGCGAGCACAAGGGCAAGGGAAGAAUGGCAAACCCAUGCAGCCACACCCUAAGGACUAAAUCCAUGUCCGGAAGAGGAGAAGGAAGGUUAUAGAAACUAAGAGCCACACCCGGAGAUCGCGCAAUUAUGUUCAUGAUGCUAUUAUUUAUCCCAAGUUUGUCAAUUUUGUUCGUGGCCUGAUGUUUGAUUUACUGCUACUUAAUUGCUACAUGAGUUAACAUGACAUAAGUAUCCAUAUUGAGCAAUAAUUUGAGGUGAGC
rnacentral:rRNA from 1 species